rnacentral:ncRNA from 10 species
AAAGGAUUCUGCUGUCGGUCCCACU